rnacentral:rRNA from 1 species
CAAUAGCGUAUAUUAAAGUUGUUGCAGUUAAAAAGCUCGUAGUUGGAUUUCGGGGCAGCCUGGCUGGUCCGCCGCAAGGCGAGUACUGGUCAGCCGCCCUUCCUCUCGAAAGCCCCGACUGCUCUUCGUUGCAGUGGUCGGGUAGUUCGGGAUGUUUACUUUGAAAAAAUUAGAGUGUUCAAGGCAGGCCUACGCCUGAAUACAUUAGCAUGGAAUAAUGGAAGAGGACCUCGGUCCUAUUUUGUUGGUUUCCAGGGCCGAAGUAAUGAUUAAGAGGGACAGUUGGGGGCAUUCGUAUUUAAUUGUCAGAGGUGAAAUUCUCGGAUUUAUGAAAGACGAACAACUGCGAAAGCAUUUGCCAAGGAUGUUUUCAUUAA